GCCUCGGUAGCGCAGUAGGCAGCGCGUCAGUCUCAUAAUCAAACCUACAUGGGUAAUCUGAAGGUCGUGAGUUCGAUCCUCACCCGGGGCA
rnacentral:tRNA from 1 species